CCUAGCUUCCAAAACCUUGAUUUCCUCCACUUUUAUCAACAAAUCCUCCAUAGAUCUUGUAUCAAGGAUGGAGAACAAGAAAGGGUCAACAUUUUCAACCGAUUGAAUUUCAAAAUUUAGGUGGAAUCUCAUCCAAGCUCGCUCCUUUGUUUGUUCUUCGAGGGUCAGCUACAGGGGUGGACCAAGCACCUGAACGCUGUCACCAAUCAGAUGGUCAGUCCUAGCCAUGACGCUGCCUUCUUUUGUCAACCUUCGUGUGUCCAGGCACUAUACACAGUCAUUGAUUUUGUUAAGCUGAUAAGAUGUUGGCUUGCUUUUUGAAUGUCUAUCUAAGAGUGAUGUAUAUAGCUCUAAUGUUUUUGUAUAUGCCCAAUAAUAGGGCUGGGUCUGUAUAUAUGUAUGUAUAUAACCGAUGUUCAAGUGUAUGUUUUAGAUUUUAUUUGUUUGUUAAAAG